UAGAAAGAGAACAUAACCUGCAAAAAGUUUUAUUUUGGCGGUCUGGGAAUGCGCACGUAUCCACGGGAACUUUGUUGAACUACCUAUUUUUCUGCGAAGUCGUAUUGUUUCAGUGGUGCGCAUUAUAUCUCUAUAUCUCUAAUUUCUUUACCCUGGUAAUAUGUCACUUUUAUUUUUUAUAAUUGAAGGAAAUUAUAGACAAAAGGAAAAGUAUGUCGGCUCGUGAAUCAAAUACAUGGUGUAUUGUGUAGUGUUAUAAGAGAAUGCAACAAAAAUAUAGAUGAAAAACGACACUUCUUUCGUUUUCCAAAAGAACAUGACAGAUGGUUACAAUGGAUACAUGCGUGUGAAAGAUCAGAUUUGAAAGUAAUGGGUGCAGAAUAUGCUUAUCAUACCUAUCAACUAUGCCACUUACAUUUUGAAGAAAAGUAAUAUAGAAUAAACAAGAGUCGAAGUUAUCUUCAUCGAGAUGCUAUACCAACAAUAUUUUUUGGAAAAAAGAGACAAUACGUCCGUUGUGACAACCGUAAUGGAAGAAAAUAGAAAAGAGAUAGAUGAAACUAAUGUACCAAAUAAAAGAAGAAGGAAAGACAAUUUUAAUAUUGUGAAAAGAGUUAUUUGUGAACAACAGGAAAGCAAUACAAGGAUUUUGUCAUUGGUACAAAAUAUAGCCAAAUGUGUACAACAUCAUUCGGCAGUACGAAAACCGGGCUGUUUGCCGAUUACAUCAAUCGUCCAGGUGGAUGCAUUUGAAGAAUUAGACGAAAACGAAUACUCCAACGUUUUUAAUCUUCUCUAAAAACGUGGUUCACGUAAGCCAGCCGCACAAGAGAAUAUUGCACGUAAUUUUUGGAAGGACAGGGCAGAUGCAGACGAUGCAGACUUAACGGACGAGAAUUAGUUUGGUACAGAUUUUGAGAAGAGGUGGAAUACCUGGAUGGUAGAAGAUAAACUAGAGGCUGUAAAAACCGGAUUGGUUGAAAAGUAAUUUGGACGAAUGCACAUUCAUCGCGCGUUACAUCUUACACAGAAGCACAAUUAUAUAAAGUGUUUAAGAAGCAUGGCUUAAUUUAAGUAAGUUCAAUAGAAGAAAAAUUUGACCCUAAUCAACAUGAAGCACUUUCAACAAGUAAGAUCUAUUUUAUGAAGCUUCUUCCUUAGAAUAUAUACCAGCACCUGGUUCUCCAUAUAUAAUUUCAUGAAGAAAACAACAAAAGAUGAAAGUGACAGUUAAAAAGAGUCUGUGGAUGCUGUUAUGACAGGUAUCGAUGCUCAAGUGAAACAAAAUAAAUAUGUGACUGAAUGGGAUAAGGAAGACAAAUCUAAGGGAUUUCGGGCAGAUGUUGACGUACAACACGACGAAAAUUAUUACAAAUUUAUAUAUGGAGGGAAAUUGUACUGCUGCUUUGCAACAAGAGGAAUUCGAUCAAGAAAUCGAGUACGAUGAAGAUGGUCAUCCUAUUGCACCACCAGAGAAGACUAAAAUUGAUCCGUUAACUCCGAUUGAUAAUAACGAAAUGGGUUACGAGUAAUUUGCGAAGAAUUUUUGCAAUGUGCAUGGAGAAAUUGGAAGUUUAAGCAAACAACAGAUUGAUGAUCUGAGGAAAACUCUCGUAAUAAAGGUUUCGAGAAACAUUACAUAUGUUGUAUUCAAGUUGGAAUACAACUUGAUAAAGUUAUAUAAUAUAUAACGUUAAGUUAUAUAAAAAUUAUAUUAAGUUAUAUAAAACUUAUA